GUGCUGAGGAAGUGUUUCAAGUGCUGCUGUCAGAAGGAAAGCAAAGAGCCAUCCAUUUGUUGCUCAAGAAAUGAGGACAAUGAAAUUCUGGCAUGGGAAGCUGUCAUGAAGGAGAAUUACCUUGUCAAAAUCAAUACCAAAGCAAACGAUUCAUCAGAAGAGAUGGUGCAUCGAUUUAGACAACUGGAUGCAAAGCUCUCUGAUUUGAAAGGCCUUCUGAAAGAGAUUUCUAGCAAAAUCAAAUGAACGCAGCUGAAAUCCAAG